CUGGAGUAAGCCACUUUUUGACUAAACAUUGAUGGUGUACUGUUUACCCUAGCUGCUUCACUGCUUCAUUACCUGCAUAUCUGAUACCCCUUGACGUUGGGCAAAAGAAACACCUCCAAGACGUACUUGAAAACCAGAGUAAUCUGAAUGUACCUUUCCAAUUAAAUACUUUGUUGUUGUUAUUAUUAUUAUUAAUAUAUCUAAAGUUAGAUUUUCAGGGGCCCUUCAAAAAAGUUAUAAAUUGAUUUGCAUGUCAAUAAGUGAAAUAAGUAUUUGAUCCCCUAUCAAUCAGCAAGAUUUCUGGCUCCCAGGUGUCUUUUAUACGAGCUGAGAUUAGGAGCACUCUGAGAUUAGGGAGUGCUCCUAAUCUCAGUUUAUUACCUGUAUAAAAGAUAC